rnacentral:rRNA from 1 species
UACGGAGGAUGCAAGUGUUAUCCGGAAUCACUGGGCGUAAAGCGUCUGUAGGUGGUUUGCUAAGUCUGCUGUUAAAGCUUGAAGCUCGACUUCAAAAAUGCAGCAGAAACUAGUAGACUUGAGUAUGGUAGGGGUAGAGGGAAUUUCCAGUGAAGUGGUGAAAUGCGUAGAUAUUGGAAAGACCACCAAUGGCGAAGGCACUCUACUGGGCCAUAACUGACACUGAGAAGACGAAAGCUAGGGGAGCAAAUGGG